UGGCUUUACCUGAAGACGGUGCGCUAACCCGCAAGGGGAGCAGCCGGCCACGGUAGGGUCAGCGACUGGGGUGAAGUCGUAACARGGUAGCCGUAGGUGAACCUGCAGAAGGAUCA
rnacentral:rRNA from 1 species